AUUGAACGCUGGCGGAAUGCUUUACACAUGCAAGUCGAACGGCAGCACGGACUUCGGUCUGGUGGCGAGUGGCGAACGGGUGAGUAAUACAUCGGAACGCGUCCUGUAAUGGGGGAUAACCUGGCGAAAGCCAGGCUAAUACCGCAUACGUCCUGAGGGAGAAGGCGGGGGAUCGCAAGACCUCGCGUUAUAGGAGCGGCCGAUGUCGGAUUAGCUAGUUGGUGGGGUAAAGGCCUACCAAGGCGACGAUCUGUAGCGGGUCUGAGAGGACGGCCCGCCACACUGGGACUGAGACACGGCCCAGACUCCUACGGGAGGCAGCGGUGGGGAAUUUUGGACAAUGGGGGCAACCCUGAUCCAGCCAUUCCGCGUGAGUGAAGAAGGCCUCGG
rnacentral:rRNA from 1 species